rnacentral:rRNA from 1 species
UACGUAGGGCGCAAGCGUUGUCCGGAAUCAUUGGGCGUAAAGGGCGCGUAGGUGGCCCGGUCAGUCUUUGGUGAAAGCGCGGGGCUCAACCCUGCGUCGGCCAGGGAUACUGCCGCGGCUCGAGCACUGUAGAGGCAGGCGGAAUUCCGGGUGUAGCGGUGGAAUGCGCAGAUAUCAGGAGGAACACCGGUGGCGAAGGCGGCUUGCUGGGCCUUACCUGACGCUGAGGAGCGAAAGCGUGGGGAGCGAACAGG